rnacentral:rRNA from 1 species
GAGUUUGAUCGUGGCUCAGGACGAACGCUGGCGGCGUGCCUAAUACAUGCAAGUCGAACGAGUCCUCCCAAUUUGAUUUUAUUGCUUGCAUAAAUGAUUUUUUGGAUUCGGGACGAGUGGCGAACUGGUGAGUAACACGUGGGUAACCUGCCCUAAAGCAGGGGAUAACAUUUGGAAACAGAUGCUAAUACCGUAUAAUUAGUUGGAACCACAUGGUUCCAACUUGAAAGAUGGCUCUGCUAUCACUUUAGGAUGGACCCGCGGCGUAUUAGCUAGUUGGUGAGAUAAAAGCUCACCAAGGCGAUGAUACGUAGCCGACCUGAGAGGGUAAUCGGCCACAUUGGGACUGAGACACGGCCAGACUCCUACGGGAGGCAGCAGUAGGGAAUCUUCCACAAUGGACGCAAGUCUGAUGGAGCAACGCCGCGUGAGUGAAGAAGGGUUUCGGCUCGUAACUACUGUU